rnacentral:rRNA from 1 species
UACGUAGGUGACCAGCGUUGUCCGGAUUUACUGGGCGUAAAGAGCGCGCAGGCGGUCGUUCAAGUCGAGUGUGAAAGCCCCCGGCUCAACUGGGGAGGGUCACUCGAUACUGAUCGACUUGAAGGCAGGAGAGGGAAGCGGAAUUCCCGGUGUAGUGGUGAAGUGCGUAGAUAUCGGGAGGAACACCAGUGGCGAAGGCGGCUUCCUGGCCUGUUCUUGACGCUGAGGCGCGAAAGCUAGGGGAGCAAACGGG